rnacentral:lncRNA from 1 species
UUUCACAAAAGUUAUUCUUCGUAAAAAGAAUCUUCACAAAGAGCCUUGCGGUAAAAUCUUGUUCUAAUCUCAAUCGAACCACUAAAUACCGAUUUUCCGGAGGCGACGGACAUGUAUCCAAAUCUGCCACAAGCGGCCAGUCCCAAAACAUAAACACAGCCAUUCAAGGCCGGAGCAAGUACUAAUUCAUAACAUAAAGAAAAUCUCUCAACCGAUAUCGUAACUUUGAUCGACAUCUAGAAUCUAAACCUCCCCUUCACCCAUCUCUUCGUCCAAGCUCGGGACCGCACCGCCUCCGUUCUCCCCGACCACAGGAUCUUGCCCCUC